rnacentral:rRNA from 1 species
GACGAGCCGAGCGAACGUUGUUCGGAAUCACUGGGCUUAAAGGGCGCGUAGGCGGGUGCUCAAGUCCGGGGGGAAAUCCUCCAGCUCAACUGGAGAACUGCCUCGGAUACUGGGUGCCUCGAGGGUGGUAGGGGUAUGCGGAACUAUCGGUGGAGCGGUGAAAUGCGUUGAUAUCGAUAGGAACUCCGGUGGCGAAGGCGGCAUACUGGACCACAUCUGACGCUGAGGCGCGAAAGCGUGGGGAGCAAACAGG